GUACACUCCUGCGGGAGGCAGCAGUGGGGAAUAUUGGACAAUGGGCGCAAGCCUGAUCCAGCCAUGCCGCGUGAGUGAUGAAGGCCCUAGGGUUGUAAAGCUCUUUCACCGGUGAAGAUAAUGACGGUAACCGGAGAAGAAGCCCCGGCUAACUUCGUGCCAGCAGCGGCGGUAAUACGAAGGGGGCUAGCGUUGUUCGGAUUUACUGGGCGUAAAGCGCACGUAGGCGGACUAUUAAGUCAGGGGUGAAAUCCCGGGGCUCAACCCCGGAACUGCCUUUGAUACUGGUAGUCUUGAGUUCGAGAGAGGUGAGUGGAAUUCCGAGUGUAGAGGUGAAAUUCGUAGAUAUUCGGAGGAACACCAGUGGCGAAGGCGGCUCACUGGCUCGAGACUGACGCUGAGGUGCGAAAGCGUGGGCAGCAAACAGGAUUAGAUACCCUGAUAGUCCCAU
rnacentral:rRNA from 1 species